rnacentral:tRNA from 1 species
GGGGGUUUAGCUCAGUUGGCUAGAGCGCUUGCAUGGCAUGCAAGAGGUCGUCGGUUCGAGCCCGAUAACCUCCA